rnacentral:lncRNA from 1 species
AAGGGAGAAGCUAGGAUUUCCAGAAAAUUGAAGAGGUGAGGGGGAGAAUCCUUAUUAUUAUGGGUUAGUAUAAUUGGAUCAAUUGGUAGAAAUAUGUUUAGGUUGAAAUCCCUAAUUUUUAUGGUUUUGGAAUUGUUAGGUUUUGAUGAGUAAUCUUUGAUUUGUGGUGAUUAAUUGUGUUUGGAAUGGAUAUAUGGGUGAAAUUGAAGGAUAGAUUGGGAAGCCACUUGGUUUAUUAAAUUUCAUUUCAGUAAUGGUAACAUUAAGAAAAAUUUUG